rnacentral:rRNA from 1 species
UACUCACACUGGAACUGAGACACGGUCCAGACUCCUACGGGAGGCAGCAGUGGGGAAUAUUGGACAAUGGGCGAAAGCCUGAUCCAGCCAUGCCGCGUGUGUGAAGAAGGUCUUCGGAUUGUAAAGCACUUUAAGUUGGGAGGAAGGGCAGUAACUUAAUACGUUGCUGUUUUGACGUUACCGACAGAAUAAGCACCGGCUAACUCUGUGCCAGCAGCCGCGGUAAUACAGAGGGUGCAAGCGUUAAUCGGAAUUACUGGGCGUAAAGCGCGCGUAGGUGGUUCGUUAAGUUGGAUGUGAAAUCCCCGGGCUCAACCUGGGAACUGCAUUCAAAACUGUCGAGCUAGAGUAUGGUAGAGGGUGGUGGAAUUUCCUGUGUAGCGGUGAAAUGCGUAGAUAUAGGAAGGAACACCAGUGGCGAAGGCGACCACCUGGACUGAUACUGACACUGAGGUGCGAAAGCGUGAGGAGCAAACAGGAUUAGAUACCCUGGUAGUCCACGCCGUAAACGAUGUCAACUAGCCGUUGGGAGCCUUGAGCUCUUAGUGGCGCAGCUAACGCAUUAAGUUGACCGCCUGGGGAGUACGGCCGCAAGGUU